ACAUGAUGCCUUCAUCAGUGUUCAGAGGAGCCGAGCUGGGCCACACAGCAGCAGACUGAGGACUCCAACUGAGCCGUGGCCUUGAGCCCGGAUGUCAUUUUGCCAUGCAGAGCCAUUUGCUUAAGAGCACCUGGUUGGGAAGGCAUUGCAAAUCGAUUUCCUUAAGGCUGGCCCUGGCACGGUAUUAGGCAAAACCACCAGCUCGAAUUCUCUUCAGUGUCAAAGAAGCGCAAUUCAAAGAAACCGAGUCAAUCGGCACCAGAUACUAAGGACGCUUAUCUUGGCAAUGAAAGGGCAGGAAGAAAGCAGAGAUUUUCCACCUUAAUUCUCAGUUAACCGCGAAUGCAAACCUCUCAGGGCCCAGGAGCCAGCUCUGGAACCAAGACAACUAUGGGGCGGUGCCGCCCCCUGCUGGCCGCUAGGUGGAUCUGCGUCCAGGGAGGCUUGAUGGGGGGGGGUGUGAAGAGAAAAUGAAUGAUUUCCUUUUUCCUUGGGCUUUUGUGUAACCAGUCUUUCCCCCCAGCAAUUGUGAGCUCACCAGUAGCAGUGACAUCAUUGACAGCUGUAACACAAGCAGUUCCCGGCGGUGUUUGCACUUACCCGCCCGGCACCAGGAAAACCCACAAACCUUGCUUCUCCCGAGAGUGUGGUGGGUCGCUCGAGGGAGGCGUCCCAGUCCCUCAGCCCGGGCCACCGAGGCGCACGGCCCGACCGCGAGGGGGCGCUCCGGGGCCACCACGGGGCCACAGGGCGACGCCUGUGCAUCGUCUUAGACAAAACGGAGGGAGGGCCUGACUGAACUGCCCGUCCUGGAAAACGUUAAAAUGUAUUCCGCUGGGUGAUCUCGGACAUGAGCAGGAGUCCGAAGAGUUCAGUGACACCACUACUGAGCUCUGUCUGCGGAUAAAUGAGAGCUUCAUACAGGGGACACAUCUUUGUGUAUGAAAAAUGUGGACAAGUUGGAUGCCCAGGCCUGUUUCAGUGCAGCAAAAGAGAAUUCCUGUACAAGAUAAACACACUUUUCAUGACCCCCAACCAUCCACCUCACAGAGAUU